CGUGAGCGGCGGACGGGUGAGUAACGCGUGGGUAACGUGCCUCAUACAGGGGGAUAACAGUUAGAAAUGACUGCUAAUACCGCAUAAGACCACGGUACCGCAUGGUACAGUGGUAAAAACUCCGGUGGUAUGAGAUGGACCCGCGUCUGAUUAGGUAGUUGGUGGGGUAACGGCCUACCAAGCCGACGAUCAGUAGCCGACCUGAGAGGGUGACCGGCCACAUUGGGACUGAGACACGGCCCAG
rnacentral:rRNA from 1 species